rnacentral:rRNA from 1 species
GCAUAAUCAAUAAGCGGAGGAAAAGAAAAUAACAAUGAUUUGCCCUAGUAACGGCGAGUGAAGAGGAAAGAGCUCAAAGUUGGAACCUGUUUGGCCUAGCUAAACCGGAUUGUAGACUGUAGAAGUGUUUUCCAGGCAAGCCGAGUAAAUAAGUCCUUUGGAACAGGGCAUCAUAGAGGGUGAGAAUCCCGUCUUUGGCUUGAGCAUUUGCCUUUUGUGAUACGCUUUCAAAGAGUCAGGUUGUUUGGGAAUGCAGCCUAAAUUGGGUGGUAAAUCUCACCUAAAGCUAAAUAUUGGCGAGAAACCGAUAGCGAACAAGUACCGUGAGGGAAAGAUGAAAAGAACUUUGAAAAGAGAGUUAAACAGUAUGUGAAAUUGUUAAAAGGGAACCGUUUGGAGCCAGACUGGCUUGUCUGUAAUCAAUCUAGGCUUCGGCCUGGAUGCACUUGCAGGCUAUGCCUGCCAACGACAAUUUGACUUGAGGGAAAAAACUAGGGGAAAUGUGGCCCACUUGUGGGUGUUAUAGUCCCUUAGAAAAUACCUUGGGUUGGAUUGAGGAACGCAGCGAAUGCUUAUUGGCGAGUUUUCCAGGAAGGUUUUCUGAGGUACUACGGUAUCAAGGUUGAUCUUUUUGGUUAUACUUCUAUUCGCUUAGGUUGUUGGCUUAAUGACUCUAAAUGACCCGUCUUGAAACACGGACCAAGGAGUCCACCAUUAGUGCGAGUAUUUGGGUGCCAAACCCAUAUGCGUAAGGAAACUGAUUGAUACGAAUCCAUUAAGGAGGCAGUAUCGUCCGGCGCUGACGUUUUAUACUGAAUUGACCGAGACAAAGCACUAAUGAUGGGACCCGAAAGAUGGUGAACUAUGCCUGAAUAGGGUGAAGCCAGAGGAAACUCUGGUGGAAGGCUCGUAGCGAUUCUGACGUGCAAAUCGAUCGUCAAAUUUGGGUAUAGGGGCGAAAGACUAAUCGAACCAUCUAGUAGCUGGUUCCUGCCG